rnacentral:rRNA from 1 species
ACGGCCACACUGGAACUGAGACACGGUCCAGACUCCUACGGGAGGCAGCAGCUAAGAAUCUUCCGCAAUGGGGGAAACCCUGACGGAGCGACGCCGCGUGGAUGAUGAAGGCCGUAAGGUUGUAAAAUCCUUUUGUCGGUGAAGAAUAAGUGGAGGAGUGGAAAGCCUCUAUGAUGACGUUAGCCGACGAAUAAGCCCCGGCUAAUUACGUGCCAGCAGCCGCGGUAAUACGUAUGGGGCAAGCGUUGUUCGGAUUUAUUGGGCGUAAAGGGCGUGUAGGCGGCUCAUCAAGUCUGGUGUGAAAAUGCAGGGCCUAACUCUGCAAAUGCGCUGGAAACUGGUGGGCUUGAGUUCUUGAGGGGAAGCUGGAAUUCCAGGUGUAGGGGUGAAAUCUGUAGAUAUCUGGAAGAACACCGGUGGCGAAGGCGAGCUUCUAUCAGAGGACUGACGCUGAGGCGCGAAAGCGUGGGGAGCAAACAGGAUUAGAUACCCUGGUAGUCCACGCUGUAAACGAUGUGCACUAGGCGUGGGGCACGUACGUGUUCUGUGCCGUAGUUAACGUGUUAAGUGCACCGCCUGGGGAGUAUGCUCGCAAGGGUGAAACUCAAAGGAAUUGACGGGGGCCCGCACAAGCGGUGGAGCAUGUGGUUUAAUUCGAUGGUACACGAGGAACCUUACCAGGGCUUGACAUGUGCGUGAAUGUUCACGAGAGUGGGCAGCCCCGCAAGGGGCGCGCACACAGGUGCUGCAUGGCUGUCGUCAGCUCGUGUCGUGAGAUGUUGGGUUAAGUCCCGCAACGAGCGCAACCCUUACUGCCAGUUGCCAACAGGUUGUGCUGGGCACUCUGGCGGAACUGCCGGUGACAAACCGGAGGAAGGUGGGGAUGACGUCAAGUCAUCAUGGCCCUUAUGUCCUGGGCUACACACGUGCUACAAUGGUCGGUACAAAGCGAAGCAAAACGGCGACGUCAAGCAAAUCGCAGAAAGCCGGUCUCAGUGCGGAUUGGAGUCUGAAACCCGACUCCAUGAAGUUGGAAUCGCUAGUAAUCGCGCAUCAGCAUGGCGCGGUGAAUACGUUCCCGGGCCUUGUACACACCGCCCGUCACACCACCCGAGUUGGGGGUACCCGAAGUCAGUUGCCUAACCGCAAGGAGGGCGCUGCCGAAGGUAUGCCUGGUGAGGGGGGUGAAGUCGAAACAAGGUA